CCUACGGUGUGCAGCAGUGGGGAAUAUUGCACAAUGGGGGAAACCCUGAUGCAGCGACGCCGCGUGAGUGAAGAAGUAAUUCGUUACGUAAAGCUCUAUCAGCAGGGAAGAAAUACUGACCUUACGGUCAGCAGACGGUACCUGAGUAAGAAGCCCCGGCUAACUACGUGCCAGCAGGCGCGGUAAUACGUAGGGGGAAAGCGUUAACCGGAUUUACUGGGUGUAAAGGGAGCGUAGACGGUGCGCGAAGUCUGGAGUGAAAUGCCGGAGAUUAACUGCGGAACUGCUUUGGAAACUGGCGAACUAGAGUGCGGGAGGGGUAAGCGGAAUUCGUGGUGUAGCGGUGAAAUGCGUAGAUAUUAGGAGGAACACCGGUGGCGAAGGCGGCUUACUGGACCGUAACUGACGUUGAGGCUCGAAAGCGUGGGAGCAAACAGGAUUAGAUACCCCUGUAGUC
rnacentral:rRNA from 1 species